AUUGGAUAGAAAAUAAACGCAAUGGUGGGCCCUACAAAUGUUUUAACGGUGAGAAUCAUUGUCCCACUGCUAUUUAUGGUGUGGUCUACUUAAGAUUUUUAUAUGAAUAAUUUUUGGUAUCAUGCUCUAAAAUGAUCUCAAAAAAUGUAUGAACGGUGUGGAUAUAAUAAAUACAUAAUUAUGUGGGCCAUGUAACUUUGAUCUCCUAUGGACCGUUCGUACAACUCGGAGCUGCAACGCUCGUCUUCGCACGACACGUACCCACACCAGCCAUGUCGCUGCGAAUCCGCUUCCCUCCGAAUUACUCAAAUUUUCUUAAAUUACCAAAUAGCCCUUCAACGGUUGAGGUCUGCAUUUAUAUACGAGUGGAGGUCUUUCUUCCUUGCCAAGAAAGCCAUCUCUCUAUUUCUCUUCUCUGAAAACCUCUCCCUUCUUCCCCCCCCUCUCUCUCUCUCUCUCUCUCUCUCUCUCAGAAAGCCUCUUUCCCUCUCUCAUCGCCAUUGAUGCAAGCGUACCGUAGGAGCGUAGCGCACCAGUCUCUGUUGAAGUCUUCGUGCGUUCUCGCCUCUCUCGGUAUUUGCACUUGACAUUCUUACCUCCUACUGCACAUGGUAUCAUAAAGGCCGAGGCCCCUCACUUACAUUAAGGUGUUCGAGUCUUUACAGCUACAUUCAUUUUCACCUUGAAAGCAAUGUAACUUGAUUUUGAACUCUGCAUUAAUAUCAAUGUCCAGUAAUGCUUGGUUACUCCUGCUUAAUUGCACUAGUAAUUGCAAUUUAACUUGAUAGUUCAUCCAAAUGCAUUUUGUAAAUCCAAAAUCAUGAUAUACUAAUUAAAUGAUUUUAAUUA